UGGGCAUUGAGGGGCUGCAGUGAGGUAUACCUUCCUUCCACGCUUGCUGAAACCCGAUAAGGCUCGAGCAAGGUUAUCCCAGUACUGGGUCGAACCGAGCUCGAUGUCGAAGUCUACGCCAUCUAAUACUGCAUCACCUAAUGGCCGAGACGAUGAUUUUCCUCCCAAGAAGUUGUUCCACAGAUAAUUGGCAACUUUUUGGGCAUCAUAGGAAGAGGACAGAGAGUAAUUUCCAACCCCACCACCUAUAGAGAGCAUGACCUUAGUGCCUCGAUUUUGGCAGUUUCUUAUGCCGUUACUGACGGAGGUGCAGCCAUUGGAAGCAGAGUUGCAAUGGCCUGCAAGGUUGAUUGCAGGGGUCCGGCCAUUGCCGAACUUGUUGAGGAAGGCUAUGUUAACGUAGGAGUAUUUGCCGGUGUUGCAGGUUUGAGUUAGGGUCCCUUCAUUGCCGUUUUGGCCCCAGUAGAUGGCGAUGCCACCGGCAUAAGAGGUCUGGAGGAAAGCUAGGACUGAGAGGGAGAUGAGCAGAGGUAUGGAUUGAGGGGUUCUAGCCAUUCUUGAAAGAGCUGGUGUGGCCUGUGCUUGAUUAAUGUGUGUGGGGGUGAGUCCUUUUUAUAGAGUUCUAGAGUUGAAGGUCGUGACUCCCAAACUUUAACCGAGUCAUGUCUUUUCUCGUUGGCUCUAUAAAUAUUAACAAAUAAUAAGAUUGAGAGAAGCUUCAAGACGAUAUUAAAAUGUUAUGAUAAUUGAGAUGGGCUUCUAGAGACAGAUAAAUGGAAUGGAGGAAGAGUGGGAGACAACCAACAUAGGAUACAAGAUAAAUAUUAACAAAUUACGGGAUUGAGAUAAGCUAGUAAAGAAGAUAUUAAAAUGUUAUGAUAGUGAGAUGAGCUUUCAGAGAUAGAUAAAUGUCGAUGGAGGAGUGGGAGACAAUCAACGUAGGCUAGAAGUUUCCCUUGAAUGUUGGACAUUUUCAGGACCUCACCAGUCUUUUGGCACGAGUCGAACUCCAUAAAAAACUCGAAAAUCCAUUAGCCGUUUGAUAAUAUUUUUACUUCAAGUGGUUUUAAUAAAAAUAUUUUCCUUUAAAGUGUAUUUAUUAGAAUCAUCUAAAUAUUUAUUAAAAAAAACUAUAUUUUUUAAAAUUUUAAAAAUAUUUCUUAAAUUUUAUCCAACACCUAAUAAUGUUUUUUUUAGAAACAUUUUUUAAGGUAAAAAGGCUUCCUAUUUUUUGGCAAAUGUACUCAAGUUUUGUCACAUACGUGUAACUUUCUCAUCUUAUAGUCAAAGGAAUCCAGUUGAGUGCUUGAGAGACUUGGUUGAGCUGGGUGAAGCUGGUAGCUGGUUCCAUUGAAGUCGUCUCCACCGAGCCUUCAAUGCCACUGAAAAUGUGAGGAGUGGCAACUGGUGGGGCGCUUAUCUCUUGACUCUUGUCUUUCCCUAGUCUGAAGGAAACAUGAUUUGUUUAAGAAGAUAAGCAAAGCGAUUUGGUUGAUUGGGAGUCAAUGAUUCUGCUAAACUUCACAUAUAUGUGAAAGAAAGAUGACAAAGACAGGGCCUAGUUACUUGCCGGCCGGAUGCAAGGCAGUCAGCAAAGAGCACCAAAGACAGUUUACUGACGAUAAUGGCAUCAUAGUUCAAAUGGUUUCGAUUUUCAAUAAAUGAAAUGUAACAACCCUGUACAUGAGAUAGCUUUUACGUUCUAAAAAUACAUUUAUAUAGUUUCACAAUAACACCAUGAUAUCGUGUUUAGUAAGAUUGCAAGACCAUUUGGACAAACACCCACUAUAGGAUGGAUCGACUUUAAUAUAAUUUAUAAUGACCCUUACGGGAUGAAUUGACUCUGAUAUAAUUUAUAAUGAUCCAUUUUUUCAUAUGGAGUAGACAAAUUAUAUAGAAAAAAGAGCAAGUCAUUACACGAAAUGCUUAAAACCCGAGAACAGUUGUGUUAAUGGGGUUAAAUCCAAACAACAAACAUAUAGCAAAAGAGCUUUUAUGGUAGCAUAUAAAUAAAUGAAAGAAGAACCUGUUUAACUUGAUUUUCUUAGUAGAUAUGCUAGCAUAAUUUUUAUUAGAUCGAGGAAGAAGAAAACAAAAUUUCUAUAUAUAUGUAUUAUUUUGGGGCUCUUUUUUUCUUUCAUUCUAGUGGUUUGUAACGAUAUGAGUCCAUACUGUGUGCAGGGGAUCACCACCGCCACCGCCACCGCCACCGCCACCGCCACCGCCCAUAUAAUGUUUGUUGUUUGGAGAUAAAAAAAAAAAAGCCCGAACUGACUUAACCAUCGGAGGAGGAUAACUCGGGGCGACAUUGGGUAAGCCUUGAUUUGCAGAUAAAAACGUGCGGCAAGUAGAGGACUGCAGUUUGGGAAAUUCAGCUCCAACAUCCCAUACCAUCAAUUAGUUAUAUAUGAAUUUGUUUGGCUCAAAUUAUGGAAAAAAAAAAUUAUUUUAUUUCGUAGGCUAAUAAUGUAGAUGGUGAUGGACUCUUAAAAUAAUUAUUUAAUAAAAAAAUAAAAUUUAAAAAUAUUCUGAAACAUCUUCACAAUCAUCAAUGGUGGCAGAUGUUUUGUGAACCAACACAUGACUUUAAAUAUUGCUGACUCAGAUAAGGUUAAAAUAAUUUUUGGAUGCCAACAUUUUAUUUUUUAGAAAAUAGAUUUUUAUUUUUUAUUUAUUUUUUAUACUUUUUAAAUAUAUAGGGAUAGAAAUUAAUAUAUUUCAAAUAACUUUGGGGUUAAUCUAGGAAUGAUCUCGAUAAACAUUUUUUUAAUGUAUAAUAAUUUUUAUUAUAAUUUUUUUUUAUAGAAAAAUAGUUAGUGUUUCAUGGCAUAAAAAAAAAGAUUUUAAGAAUAUUUUUUAUAUUAUGUUGCAUAAAAGAAAAAUAAUUUUGGAAGAAACAUCAUUGAGUUAAUUCAAAAAUUACUCUUAGUGAUUAUUUGAAUUUUUAGAAGCAAUUUCUAAAAUAUUGCCUAACAUCUAAUUAUUGUAAGAAAAAAAAUUUUCAGACAUUAAAAAAUAUUUUUAAACUUGUGAUAUCUUGAACGGGUUAAUAACGGUUGGAGUUGGAUUUGGGUACUCAAGUAGGCUUUCCUAACCCAAUCUAACAAAUAAAGAGAUGAGGAGUUUCUCUCACUCUCUCCAAAACAAAAAAAUACCAGUAAAAAAACUCUCUUUAUAAUUUCAUCUUCUUUUUUUUUCUCCAUAAAAGAAGAUUAAAGCAUUUAUGAUGUGAAAUAGAGUGCUUUUAAAAUUUUUGUAAUUUCAUUCAUGACUUGGGGUAGAGAAUUCAUAGGUGAAACAAUAAAUUUAGAUUUGAGGACUUUAGAAGAUAAUUCGAUGCCUUUUUUUUUUUGACAAUAAAUUUUUCAUAUUUUUUCAAUAAAAAGUUUGAAAAAUAUAUAAAAUUUUAAAUAAAUUUUAUUAUAUUUAAUUUUCUCCAUAUUUUUAUAAUAAAUCAAAUAGAAGAACUUAAAUUACUUCUAACUUAUUUUUUGCAUUAGGUUUUGACCAUAUCAUAUGUGUUGGUGCAUGACCAACAAGGAGGUAUCCAACUAGUCUUUGUGUGGUGUAGACGACUUUUUGAACGGAAUGUCCAAAUGGGUUUUCGGAAUAAACCCCUUUGAAGCUUAAGUCAAAGAUAGAAGACUUGAGUAAGAGAUUUUUGGAAAAAGUUACAACAUAUCUUUCCUGUUAUGAAAAAUGAUUAUUUAUCAUUACUCAAAUGUAACAUCUUCUCAGGUGUCUUAAUUGUGUCUUUGACUAUGCGUUGAUGAGCUUUAAUACUUGACAUUUUAUUCUAAUAACAGUUGUGUCAAUCAAUACAUAAUGCAUUUAAUGCUUGUUACAGUUAAUGCUUGACAGACAAGAAUGCAUGGUACCUAACUGUUUGUAUCCGUUUGUACCUUGGGAUGAACGGAUAAUACCACAUGACUUUUGUGUUGAACAUGCCUUGCGUUAGAUGACACUUGGGGAUCAUGCUAGACGAUAAUAAGCGUUUCACAACACUUACAAUGUGAAAAACCCAUGAGUUCAUAAUAGCACAUGAUGCUCUUGUGGUUCAAACCUAUAACCAUGGUUCCAACUCAUGAGUCUAACUUAUGAUACUAAUUUUUGAAUCAAAUCAAGAUAUGCUAAGUCAAUUAUGAUAUUCAACCAUCAUUAUUUGAAUGAUCCAUUUCUAAGCUUAAGAGUGGUAUUAUUAUAACACAAUAAUGUUUUUUUUUAAAUACAUUAUAUGACACAAAUAGAAUAUUAGAUGAUCAAAAUCCAAUCUAAAAUUUUAGCAAAUUUACCACGGAGUAAAAAAGUGACUAGAAAUGGAAAAACAAUCUUAAUAACUAUGAUUAAACACUUGGAUGCAAACAAAUAAAAUAAGGAGAUGGAUGAUGAUUAUUACAAAAAGUUGGUAGAAAAUCACACCUUGUGCACUUAAUCCUCUAAUGGAUAUCAAAUAUAAUAAAAAGUGAGUUUCCUAAAAAGUUGUAUGAUUUUACACCUACUUGAGAAAAUUUGGGUGUUGUUUAGUAUUUUGGAGGUAACAUUUCUUUUUCAUCUUUUAUUUUUUAAUUCUUUAUGAUUUAUCUUGGCUAUUUGUGAUUGGUUAAUAAUUAGUGAACUAAAAGGAAAAUUUUUUCCUUCCAUAGUUUUUUUUAGCCUUUUUGAUGUGACGUAAUUAUUACUAUUUAGAAAUGGUUCCACAUAACACAUAAUAAUAAUAAUAAUAAAAAUAUUAUUAUUAUUGUUUUAUUAUUAAACUCAAUUAAAAAUAAAUUAUUAUUAUAUAAAAUUUUAAUUUUUUAUAAUGGAUGAACUUUUUAUGAUUAAGCUAUUAGAACUCUAUGAGAUCAAUAACAAACACUACUAUAUGUGCUAGUUGUUAUGAAAUAUUGUUUUCUUUAAUAGUUUUCAUUUAUAAAAUACUUAUUAAAAAGUGGACAUUGAUCCUUUUUAUCGGUGGAGGUAAGUGGACAUGGCAUCAUUCCUUUUGGAAGUGGUUUUUGACUUUUUAUAGCACGUGGCCAUAAAAAAAUAUUUUUAAAAUGAAGAGGAUAUGAUUUAAAAAUAUAGGAGAAUCAUUCCAACAGCUGGGUCAAAUCUUCUCACUUUAGAUAUUAUUGUUACGGUAUUUGAGACUGUCGGUGGUGCCGUCGGCGGGCGACGGAUGCCGGACAGGGGAUGUGGCCCGACGGAGAUCGGAGCCGAUGAUGGAAACGAGGAAGAAGACGACUGUGUGGUGGUUCUCACUUCUCAUGGGUAUCUCCAGUGGGAAGAAGGCUUGUUGAGGGCUUCCAAAUGGUAAAAAAAUUAAAAAAAUGGCGGCAGAAAUUUUGGUGCGGGUUAGUGAUAUUUCUAAGAUUUUUUUUUUAAUAAUUUAAUUUUUGUCACUUCGGAUAAAAAAAACAAUAAUAAUUUUUAUAUAAAGUUAAAAGACUUGAUUAUAAAAAACAUUUUAUUUUAUUAAUUUUUUCAAAAUUUAAAGUGAUUUUUAAAAACAUAAAUAAGUUUAUAUUUUUUAUAUAACAGUUUCCGUUUUUAAUAUAAAAAUUGUAACUAAUUUUUAUUUUGAAAAACGAAAAACAAAAAGUGUCAAAACAAUAUCUUAUGAGGAUAAUUUUCUAUUUUUUGUUUUGAGUGAAGUCUUAAAUCCUAUUUGGUAAUUAUUUUGAAAACAAUUUUAAAAAAUAAUUUUUGAGAACUAAUAUUUUAUAAGAAGUCUUUGAGAAGUUGAAAUAUUUUUAAUCUAUUUUAAUAUUUUUAAAUAUAUUUUAAAAAUAAUUUUUAUGUUUAAAGUUUUAUUUUAAGUCAUUAUGCAUAUUUGUACAAUUAUUUUUUAAAACAAUUUAAAAAAUGAAAAUAAUUAAAAAUAAUUAAAAGAUGUUAUUUGAAAACACCCCAUUUUAUCUUCUUAAGAGCAAAAAAUAGAAAAUAAUUUUUUAAUAGUCAAAUAUAUUUUUUAAUUUUUUAUUAUUUUAAAAAAUAAAAUAUUGAAAUCGAAAAUAGUUGCCAAACAUACCUUUCAAUUUUAAAAUUAUUGAAAAUAAUUUUUCUGGAUAUAAUUAUUUUUAAUUUUUAACAAAAAACCGAAAGUUUAUCCAAAUGAUUUUGUUUUUCCAAUUUUAUAAUAAACAAUCAAAUAAAAAAACAUUAAAUUUUUCCUUACCAAUUUCUUUGCCUUGAACUAUUUAGAACCAAGCAUAACCUAUUCUAAACCCAGAUUUGUCCUGCCCCGAUGCAAUAUAAGCCCAUUUGUUACUAGCUCGAUUUAGGCAUGGCCCAUUAUCAGUCCUUAACCCAGCGCAGGCCCCAAUGUAGACUAGUUCCCUGUUGGGCCAAUAUGAUUUGGCCACUCUUUUUCUUAGCCCAUGUUCUUUCAAGUCCAUUAUUAUUUUUAUGUUUACUUUAUUUUUAUUUUUUGAUUUUAAUUUAAUUUUUAUUAUAUUUUUUACCUUUAUUUUAGUCUUAUUGUAAUGUUUUGUGGUGACUAUGAUAUGAUUUUAUUUAUUUAUUUUGGAUAUAUUAUUAAUAUGGAUGACAAUGAGAUGGAUUCAGGAUGGAUCACCUCUGUCCCAAUCUUGUUCUAUUUAUUCAAAAUAAUUAUCAUCUUUGUCCCAUUAAAAAAAAAUUAAACGGGGUGAGAUAGGGUAGAUAUGCAAAUUUCUCAUACCCAUCCCAUCCUAUUUUGUUUAAUUUUUUUUGAAAGACUUUUCUUUAAAAAAAACAUUUGAAAAUUUUUAAUUAUAUUAAAGUAAAUAUGUUUUAUAAAUAAUUAAAAUAUUAUAAUUUUUUUUAUUGAAAAGUAAUUUAUUAUUAUUAUUAUAUAUGUUAAAAAUUAAAAAUUGUUGAAAUUAUUUUUCAUAAUUAAUUUUAUAUAUAAUUGGGGUGAGAAUGAAGUAGGACAAUAUAAUAUUUAAAUCUACCCCAAGUUUUUAAAAAACCUUAUAUCUGCUCUUAAUCUGUUUAUUUAAAUUUUGAACUCACUCAUUAGAGACAAGAAAUACUUGGAAAAACUGUUCCAUUUCUACCUUAAUUAUAAAGCUUGUGGACAAUUUUGAAAACAUUUGAAAACAUAUGACUCAUGUUUUCAAAUGCCAUUUGAAUGCUAACUUCACAUUGUCACAUGAAUGUAUAUUUGGAGGCAUGGAUGAUUUUGGAUGGAUCUGGGAACGACGUACCUCUAGUUAUAGUGGUAAUAUAAUUAGGGGUGACAGAAUUUGUUACGAUAUGUUAAUAUAAUUCAAACUUAACAUAUAUUUCAUGAGUUUAGAUAAAAUACACUCAAAUUUGAAUCAAUUUAUAUAACUUAUUUAAUAAAUAAUUAGUUUUUGAAUCAAUAUGCAUAACAUAAAUAUAAUUUGAAUGAACCUAAUUAAUAAUCUUACUAAUUAACUUUAAAUUAUUUAAUUUAUAUUUAACUCAUUUUAAAUAAAUAGAUUAAUUAUGAAGUUAAAACGUUAAUGAUAUAGAUUUAUACAGGACUAUAUGAGAAUGAGAGAGGUGAGGGGGGAAGUCGUCGGAAGUGGCUGCCGCCGGUGGCGGCCACCGGCUGGCAGUGGUGGUGGCCGCAAGUGAAAGUGAGGGUGGAUGGGUGUGGAAAAGAAAAAGGGGAAGAAAGAAAGAAAAGAAUAAAAAAAAACUGGUAAAAAAGAAAAGGGAGAAAGAGAAGAAGGAGGAGAGAGAGAGCGAAUGGGGACGGCUGGAGAUGGGUUUUGGGUGAUAGGCAUAGGCGGAGAGAACUGAGAAGAGGGAAAAAGAAAAGAAAAGAGAAGAGAGAAAAAGGAAAAGGGGAGAAGAGAAAAAAAGGGGGGACGUGGGAACGGGGCCAGAGUCGGAUUUGAAUGAAUGAAAUAAAAAAAAAAAGAAAAAAAAAAAAGGAAAAAACAAGAAAAAGAAAAAAAAUUAAAAAAACAAAAAAAGAUAAAAUAAAUAAUAAUAAAAUAAAAAGUGAGAAUAAUUUGAAAUAAAUUUUGGGAUUUACAAUCAUUUUAACAAAUUUAUUUAUUUAUAUAUUUAUGUAAAUGAAAUUAGAAUAUCACUAUCUAACUUGUCCAUUUACCAAGUUCAUCAUGCUUUCUAGAUUAAUACAUGUAUAUUAUAUACUAUUAUGAUAUGGUAUCCAUUAGUUAAUUAAUAAAUUAUUUGUUUUUUUGUCAACAUAUUAAUAUAGAUCGAGAUUAGUUUGGGCUUAGUAAUAGCUUGACCAUGGACUGAGUUAUGAUUUUAAUUUUAUUAUUUUAUUUUUAAAAAUUUAAAAAUAAGAUAAAUAAUAAGCCUCCAUGUUUUUCUAAAAAAUAAAAUAAAAGAACCUUUUAAGGGUAUGUUUGGUAUAUGAAAGUUCAAAGAAAAAAAGAGAAACUUUUAAAAUAUAUAUAUAUAUUUAAGAAAAAAAUAUAAUAUUUUUAUUUACUUAUACAAAAUAUAAUAAAUAAUGUUGUUUUUAGGGUGUUAAGAGAAUGUUAUUAAUUAAACCUAAAUUCUAUAAAUUUAAACUUUCCAAAAAUUCUUUUGUUCUAUAACUCUUGUACCUAAACUUUUAGGAAGAUUAAGAAAAUUUUAAAAAUAAUUUUGAAGUACAUGGGUUAAAUCUAUAGUUUUUAAUACAAGAGUAAAUAUAUAAAAUAUUAUUAUGAUUUUAUAUUUGUAAAGAAAAUAAGUGAGACUAAUUGGCAUCCAUUGAAAAUCAUUGGCCCAUUUUAGGUUUGAAACUCCGAGCCUUCUUAGUCCCGCACCCGGCACCGCUCAGGCACCACUAGAGCGAAAUUGAUAUUUAAAAGGAAAGAGAAGGUCAACUCUUUAUAAUUCUUCAUACUAUAUUCUCCAUAAUAUUCUCUUUCACUUUAUCCAUACAUUCAUCGAGGAUGAAAGCUUAUUCAAUAUAUUAUUACAACUGAUAUAGAUAGACUAACACCCAGUUCACACACUGCUCUUAAUGGAAGAGCUGUAUCCACUCUGAUCAUCAUAGUACUUUGACCACAGCAUCACGCCUCCAUACUUGGCUGAUCUCUUAAUGACCGGAAGAAUUUGAGAGGUCAACACAUUGGCCGGAAUAAACCCACUUCCGGCAGCUGCAGAGGAUGCCGGCAGGCCCAUGAAGAUCCGUGAAUUUAUCGAUGAAGUCCACCGGUUCCAUGAAUUCAGAAGGUUAUUGGUGUUGCCAGAAGAAUACUGGCAUGGGGCAUUGUUAUAGAAUUGCACCCAGACAUAGUCAAAAAGGCCUGUGUUAAGGGCAGUGCCCAGGAACUUAUCUGGGAAUGGACAUUGAGGGGCUGCAGUGAGGUAUACCUUCCUUCCACGCUUGCUGAAACCUGAUAAGGCUCGAGCAAGGUCAUCCCAGUGCAGGGUCGAACCGAGCUCGAUGUCGAAGUCUAUGCCAUCUAAUACUGCAUCACCUAAUGGCCGAGACGAUGAUUGUCCUCCCAAGAAGUUGUUCCACAGAUAAUUGGCUACGUUUUGGGCAUCAUUGGAAGAGGACAGAGAGUAACUUCCAACCCCACCACCUAUAGAGAGCAUGACCUUAAUGCCUCGAUUUUGGCAGUUUCUUAUGCCGGUACUGACGGAGGUGCAGCCAUUGGAAGCAGGGUUGCAAUGGCCAGCAAGGUUGAUUUCAGGGGUCUGGCCAUUACCGAACUUGUUGAGGAAGGCUAUGUUAACGUAGGAGUAUUUUCCGGUGUUGCAGGUUUGGGUUAGGGUCCCUUCAUUGCCGUUUUGGCCCCAGUAGAUGGCGAUGCCACCAGCAUAAGAGGUCUGGAGGAGGGCUAGGACUGAGAGGGAGAUGAGCAGAGGUGUGGAUUGGGGGGUUCUAGCCAUUCUUGCAGGAGGCUGUCUGGCCUGUGCUUGAAUAACGUGUAUGUGGGGGUGCGUCCUUUUUAUAGAGUUUUAGAGCAGGGGCUCGUGACUCGCAAACUUUGACUGAGUCAUGUAUUUUUUCGUAUAGGUCUAUAAAUAUUAACAAAUUACGGGAUUGAGAUAAGCUUGUAAAGAAGAUAUUAAAAUGUGUAUGAUAGUGAGAUGAGCUUUCAGAGAUAGAAAAAUGGAGAUGGAGGAGGAGUGGGAGACAAUCAACAUAGGAUGCAAGUCUGUAUCCUGGAAGUUUCCCUAGAAUGCUGGCCAUUAUCAUCACCUCACAUUUCUUUUGGAAUGAUUCUAACGUGCGUGACUUUAGUUCAAAUGACUUUUUGUAAAAAGAAGUGUAUUUGAUAAUGAUUUUAAAAAAUAUUUUAAAAAUUUUUAAUCUUUAAAUGAUAAAUUUUGUUAAGUAUUAAAAGGGUUAGAAGCACUUUAUAAAAUCACUGCAGAACGAACGAACUCUAAAUUGUAAAAAUAUUUUUAGCAUAUUCAUUUAUUAAGUGUUUCUUUGUACACGGGUGAGUUUGACAAUAUUUUUACAUUAAGCGUUUUUGAUAGAAGUGUUUUAUUUGAAAGUGUUUUUAAAAGAAUAAUUUAUUUAAAAAACAUUUUUAAUAUUUCUAAUACUUAAAAAUCAAAUUUUUAACUAUUAAAAAAAUUAAACAUACUUUUAGAAUCAUUAUCAAACCACUUUUAAUUAUAGUGCAUCUAACAAUCAUUUAAAGAAUUAUUUUUAGUUUUUUUAAUUUUAAAAAUAAAAUUUUUUAAGUGUUAAAAAUAUUCAAAACAUUUUUAAAAAUCAUUAUUAAACACAAUUUUAGUAAUUUCUCAAUACUACAUUAUUUUUCAUAUUUUUAAAAAUAUUUUCUAAAUUCCUUUAAACACUUAAUGUUUUUUUUUUAAACAAUUUAGACUAAAACUACCUUCUAGAUAAGUUUUGUCACUUACCUGUGACUUUUUCAUCUUACAGUCAAAGGAAUCAAGUUGAGCAGGGUUGAAGCAGGCUGCUGGUUCCAUUGAAGUCGUCUCCACCGAGCUUUUAAUGCCUCUGAAAAUGUCAAAAGUUGCAACUGGUGCGGGGCCUAUCUCGACUCUGCUUUUCCCUUGUCUGAAGGAAACAUGAUUUGUUUAAGAAGAUAUGAAAAUUGAUUUGGUUGACUGCGAGUCAAUGAGUCUGCUGAGGAAACUUCACAUACAUGUAAAAUAAAGAGGACAAAAAUUACUUGCCGGCCAGAUACAAGGUAGUCAGCAAAGAGCACCAAAUACAGUUUACUUACGAUGAUGACAUCAUAGUUAAAUAAAAUGGUUUUGAUUUUCAAUAUAUGAAAUGUAACAAUUCAAAGCUACCCCAAUCUCAAUUAUUGUUUUUUAUAAUAUUUAUAAUGCAUCUUAACUUAUAUAAUAAUAUUUAUUUAUUUAUUUUUAAAUCAAAUUAUAUUAUAUUAUAUUAUAUUAUAUAUAUUUCAUUUUAAAAAAUAAAUUUAUAUUUAUUCUUUUAUUAUUAUCUUGAAAUUUUAUCUUAUUUGUUAUUUAAAUUUUCGUAUAAAUACAUUAAAAAAGUUUUUUUUUUUAAAAUAGAUUUUGAAUUAUGUAGUCCAACCAACCUAAAUUUAACUUGAUCAAUUUGAGUCUAAUUUGAAUAAUCCGAACUCAAUCUAAGUUUGAACUUGAGUUUGAAUAUCUCAUGUUAGAGUUUAGGUGAGUUAAGUUCGGGUUGAUUAUUUCUUAAUUUGGGUUGGCCUCAGGUUAGUCAUUAAUUUGAUCAACCCGUCCAAAUUGUAACCCUAAUAUAAAGUAAAUUUAUAUAUUUUUUAUAUAAAAUUAUUAUUACUUUUUAUUUUUUAAAAAUAUCCAAAUGAUUUUUUUUGAGGAAAAUGUUGCGAUAAAUCCCCGAUAUAAUGGAAAAAAGGGCCAAAAAAAGAUGAAAAUCACUGGUCAAAUCGUUACAGUGAGCUAUAGUGCACCCUCAAAUUUCUCCUUCUUUUGUGCUGUUGAAAGGGAUUCGGGGUUCAACGCUUCCAACCACUAGGGCAAGCUUGCCCUUUGUUAAAUAGAUUGUACUUAAAAUAUAUAUUCAAAGUCAUCAUGUAAAGAAAUUUUUAAAAGAAUAUUUUAGAGGGCAAAUUAAAUAUAAUUAUUUUAUAAUUAAAUAAAAAAAUUUCUUUUAAUUGAUUACCAAAAAUAUAAAAAUUAUCAUAAUAAUUUUUUUCACAGUGUUUUCAAUAUCAUUAAUGAAUUAAUUAAAUAUUAAAAAAUUGUACAUAUAUUAUAAUUUAUUUUAUAUUAUUUAAUACAAUUGAAUUAAAUGGAUCAUAAUUUUAAUAUUAAUAUAUAUUUUUAAGUUAAACAUAUUAUAAUAAAAUAUCAUAAUAUUAUAUAUAAUUUAAUAAUAAAUGUAUACUUAUAAAAUUCAUAUUUUUAUUGUUGCAUAUGAUAUUAUUAUCAAAUAUGAUAAAUCAUAUUAUACAUAUAUCAAAUUCUUUAAUAAAACAACUUAAAAAUAUCUAUUAUACUUUUAAUUACAUUUUUUAUGAAGUUUUUUUUGUAUUUUUAUAAAUUUUGAUCAAUUUUAGGCUUAUCGAUAUUUUUUUUCAAAAUAUCCACGGAUAUAUCUUCAAUAUAUCCGUAAAAUCGAAAUACCAAUAUAUCCGUGAUUACUGAUAUUUUCAUCCUUGAUUUUUUUUUCAAUUUUUUCAUAAACAUCAAAUAAAAAAACAUUAAUUUUUUUCCUUACCAUUUUCUUUCCCUUGAACUUAACCUAUUCUAUACCCAGAUUUGUUACUUAGCUCAUUUUAGGUCUAUGCCAUCAUAUGGUAUCAGUCCUUAACCCAGUGCAGGGCCCAAUGUAGACUCGUUCCCUCUUGGCCCAAUAUGGUUUGGCCGCUUUUUAACUUUAUUUUAUUUUAUUUUAUAUUUUUUUUUCUAAUUUAACUUUUAUGCUAAUUUUUUUCCUUUAUUUUAUUCUUGUUGCAAUAUUGUGGGGUGGCUAUUACAUGUAGUGGUAUGAUUUUUAUUUAUUUAUUUUGGACAUAUUAUUAAUAGGGAUGGAUGGCAACGAGAUGGGUCAUCCUAUUUCAAUCAUGUCCCAUUUAUUUAAAAUAAUUUUUAUCCCUACCCUAUUAAAAAAAAAAUGGCAUGGGGUGAGGCUGAUAUGCAAAUUUCCUAUAUCCAUCUUAUCUGUCUUGUUUAAUUUUUUCUGCAAGAAUUUUUUUUUAAAAAAAUAUUAAUUUUUUAAUUACAUUAAAGUAAAUAAUUAAAAUAUUAUAAUUUUUUUUAUUGAGAAGUAAUUUAUUAUAUAUAUAUAUAUAUAUACACACACACAUAUAUAUUAAAAAUAAAAAUAAAAUAUAAAUUAAAUUAAUUUUUAAAAUUAAUUUUAUAUUUAAUCAGGCAGACACGAGACAAGAGAAGACAUGAAUAUAUAUUUUGAUGCAGGAAUGAUUUUGGAUGGAUUAAAGGAAUGAUCUUGCUCUAGCUAUAGUGGUAAUAUCGUUAGGAGUAACAAAGUUUAAUAUGAUUUGUUAAUAUAAUUUGAACUUAAGAUGUUUUUUCACAGGUUUAGAUCAAGUAUAAGCAAAUUUGAGUCAAAUUCAUGUCGACUUAUAUAAUCCAUUUAAUAAAUAGACGGUUUUUGGGUCAAUCUGUGUAACAUAAAUAUAAUUUGAAUUAACCCAAUUAAUAAUCUUAUUGAUUAACUUUAAACUAUUUAAUCUAUAUUUGACUCAUUUUAAAUUUGUUCUUAAAUAGAUAGGUCAAUUAGUCAUGAAGUUAAAAUAAAAUAAUUAUUCAUGUCAGGUUUGUAUUGACCUUUGUAAUAAAAUAACGAGGCUUUAAUUUUUCUAAUGAAUUAAUUAUUUUGGGAAAGUAAUUUUACUUGCAUAUAAUUAGUUCAUUAUUUGUUUAUUUUAAAAUUUAUUUUAAGAUAAAAAGAAGAAGAAGAAGA
rnacentral:lncRNA from 1 species